CAAACAUAAUGCAACACGGUGACAUCGCGCUAUUGCGCCAUUUUGCGACUACUUGGCGGUCUUUUUUGGAUCGGCAGGCAUCAGUUUAUCAGGCGGCCUGCGGUGCACUUACAGCUCAAACUGUGAAGCCAUAUUGUUGUAAGGUUGAUGAAAAAUGAGGUCAUGGCCUGUUUCAGUAUGAAGUGGGGGAAGGGGAAGCUUGCUUUCACCAAGAUCAAUCUGUACACUGUUGUCACAGAGAGUGUCCAGAAAACAUCAAAAGAGACGGGGCAAAUACUGCAGCAGCCACUGCCUUUUGUUUAAAAUAUGCCCCAGCAGAGCCGUCGCAAGGAGGGUGAGAGGCCCUGUGCAAAGUUGAUGUGCGAGGCCCUCUACAAUUUUGCGUGUGUGUGUGUGGUGGGGGAGGUUGCUGUAGCAAGGCAAGGCAAGUUUAUUUAUAUAGCAAAUUUCGAACAAAAUGGUAAUUCAAAGUGCUUUACAUAAAAUUAAGUAAAAUAAUCAUGAAGAACAAAACUAAAACAAGCAAUUUUAAAACUUUGGAAAUUAUUAAAAAAUUGACUUGAAUUUAAAACAGUUAGAAAUAGAAAAUGAUCUUACAGUUAAUACAUAAAAUACAGUGCAAUCAGGUCGGACAUCGCACAGUGCUCAUUCAAUAAAUGCACAGCUAAACAGAUGAGUUUUGAGUCUAGAUUUAAAUGUGACUAGUGUUUUAGCACAUCUGAUCUCUUCUGGAGGCUGAUUCUGGAAGCAAUGUAUUUUGGUCCUAGGUCUUUGAGUGACUUCUAGACAAGUAGAAGUACUUUAAAAUCAAUCUUAAAUGUAACUGGAAGUUAAUGAGGACUGGUGUGAUAUGCUCAGAUGUUCUAGUCAGAAUCCUGGCAGCAGUGUUCUGGAUGAGCUGCAGCUGUCUAAUGGUCUUUUUGGGAAGGCCGGUGUGGAGCCUAUUACAAUAGUCCACCCUGCUGGUGAUAAAUCAUGAACAAGUUUCUCCAAGUCUUGGCUGGAAACAAAACAUCUAAUUCUUGCAAUGUUUUUUAAAUGAUAGUAUGCUGAUUUAGUUACUGCUUUGACAUGACUACUGAAACUAAGGUCUGUCUCCAGAAUCACACCACGUUUCCUGUCUUGAUUUUUAGUUGUUAGACCCCUAGAGUCAAAGUAUGCAUUCACCUUAAAAACUUCAUCUUUGUUUCCAAAUGCAAUGACUUCAGUUUUUUCCUUGUUUAACUGAAGAAAGUUCUGGCACAUCCAGCUAUUAAUUUCAUCAAUGCAUUGGCAGAGGGAGUCAGUGGGGCUGUAUUCAUUUGGAGAUAAGGCUAGGUAAAUCUGGGUAUCAUCAGCAUAGCUGUAAUAGGCAAUUAGGUUCUUUCUCAUUAUUUUACUUAGAGGAAGCAUAUACAGGCUAAACAAGAGCGGUGCAAGAAUUGAACCUUGUGGGUCUCCACAUAUCAUGGAUGUCUACUUAGACUUAUGCUCUCCUAGACUCACAUAAUGAUCGCUCCUUUUUAAGUAUGACCUGAACCAUUUGAGUACCAUCCCAGAAAGCCCGACCCAGUUUUCCAGUCUCUCUAGUAGUAUGUUAUGAUCGACAGUGUCAAACGCAGCACUGAGAUCUAGCAAUACCAGCACUGAUAUAUUGCCAGAGUCACAAUUUAAGUUAAUAUCAUUUAUUAUCUUAAUGAGUGCUGUCUCUGUGCUGUGAUGCGGUCUGAAACCAGAUGUUUAAGUAUUUAUUCAGCUGAUUAAAAACUACCUUUUCUAUAAUUUUGCCUAUAAAAGUAAGAUUAGAUAUUGGUCUAUAAUUGCUCAAAAUGGUGUUAUCAAGAUUGCUCUUUUUCAGGAGGGGCUUAACAACUGCAGUUUUCAGGGAGUUUGGAAAAGUCCCAGAAAGAGAUUUACUUCUAAACAGUUAAGCACACUUUUGAAAAAAGAUGUGGAAAGUGUGUCAAUAUAGCAAGUUGAUGAUUUUAGUUGCUGCACUAUGUCUUCCAAAAUGUUGUUUGUUUUCUUACUGACUAUUAUUGGAGCAAUAUCAUUAAUAACAUUCUUAACUUUUGAGUUGAAGGAAUCAAGGAGAAUAUCAACAG